AGUGAACGCUGGCGGUAGGCCUAACACAUGCAAGUCGAACGGCAGCACAGUAAGAGCUUGCUCUUACGGGUGGCGAGUGGCGGAUGGGUGAGGAAUACAUCGGAAUCUACUUUUUCGUGGGGGAUAACGUAGGGAAACUUACGCUAAUACCGCAUACGACCUACGGGUGAAAGCAGGGGAUAUUCGGACCUUGCGCGAUUGAAUGAGCCGAUGUCGGAUUAGCUAGUUGGCGGGGUAAAGGCCCACCAAGGCGACGAUCCGUAGCUGAUCUGAGAGGAUGAUCAGCCACACUGGAACUGAGACACGGUCCAGACUCCUACGGGAGGCAGCAGUGGGGAAUAUUGGACAAUGGGCGCAAGCCUGAUCCAGCCAUACCGCGUGGGUGAAGAAGGCCUUCGGGUUGUAAAGCCCUUUUGUUGGGAAAGAAAAGCAGCAGGUUAAUACCCCGCUGUUCUGACGGUACCCAAAGAGUAAGCACCGGCUAACUUCGUG
rnacentral:rRNA from 1 species